rnacentral:rRNA from 1 species
UAGUCCACGCCCUAAACGAUGUAUACUCGAUGUUUGGAUUUAUUUCUGGGCAUCCAAGGGAAACCAUUAAGUAUACCACCUGGGGAGUACGUCGGCAACGAUGAAACUCAAAGGAAUUGACGGGGGUCCGCACAAGCGGUGGAGUAUGUGGUUUAAUUCGAUGAUACGCGAGGAACCUUACCUAGGCUCGAACGCUACAAGACAGGAACUGAAAGGUUUUUCCCUUCGGGGUUUGUAGUGAGGUGCUGCAUGGUUGUCGUCAGCUCGUGCCGUGAGGUGUUGGGUUAAGUCCCGCAACGAGCGCAACCCUUAUUCUUAGUUGCCAGCAUGUAAAGAUGGGGACUCUAGGAAGACUGCCGGCGUAAGCCGUGAGGAAGGUGGGGACGACGUCAAAUCGUCAUGGCCUUUAUGCCUAGGGGCUACACACGUGCUACAAUGGGUGCAUACAGCGGGGUAGCGAAACCGCGAGGGUGGAGCCAAUCUCAGAAAGCUGGGUCUUAGUUCGGGAUCGGGAGUCUGGGAACUC